GACGAACGCUGGCGACGUGCUUAACACAUGCAAGUCGAACGGAAAGGCCCCGCUUUUGUGGGGUGCUCGAGUGGCGAACGGGUGAGUAACACGUGAGUAACCUGCCCUUGACUUUGGGAUAACUUCAGGAAACUGGGGCUAAUACCGGAUAGGAGCUCCUGCUGCAUGGUGGGGGUUGGAAAGUUUCGGCGGUUGGGGAU
rnacentral:rRNA from 1 species